AUACAACGCACUCUUGUGGAAAAAAAUACAUUUAUAAUAAAUGCUUAUCUGAAGAAGCUCCGUCAAAGUGAAAAAUAUGCCUUCCACGAACUCUAAAGAUGUCAGAGUACAUUUUGUCUGUUCUAUUUCAUUCGUAGUGACCGUCAAAGGCAGUGCUUUAAACUGAAUAUCUUGCAUCUCGGGCCAAGGUCAAGUAUAUACAGUAUAUCACAAUGUCAACUGUAACUUUGGGGUGACUUUGUCACACCAACGUAAGAAGCCCCGGACUGGUUGACACUCUGUUCCCUCUCUGAAGAGGAACAGCUUAUCGCAGCCUUUGGAGGGCGAAGAAUUUGCAACUUCGAGCGUAAGAUUGCAGUGCUACGAGCGGCGAGCUUCAAGCAGACUUGCAGUAUACAGGUUUAGACAAAGCUGAUGCUACCACAGAUGGCAGACAACCUGCAAAGCGAGAAGAU